GACGAACGCUGGCGGCGUGCUUAACACAUGCAAGUCGAACGAUGAAGCCCAGCUUGCUGGGUGGAUUAGUGGCGAACGGGUGAGUAACACGUGGGUGCUCUGCCCUGCACUUCGGGAUAAGCCUGGGAAACUGGGUCUAAUACCGGAUAGGACCUUCUGCCGCAUGGUGGGGGGUGGGAAGGUUUUCCGGUGCAGGAUGGGCCCGCGGCCUAUCAGCUGGUUGGUGGGGUAACGGCCCACCAAGGCGACGACGGGUAGCCGGCCUGAGAGGGCGACCGGCCACACUGGGACUGAGACACGGCCCAGACUCCUACGGGAGGCAGCAGUGGGGAAUAUUGCACAAUGGGCGCAAGCCUGAUGCAGCGACGCCGCGUGAGGGAUGACGGCCUUCGGGUUGUAAACCUCUUUCAGUACCGACGAAGCGCAAGUGACGGUAGGUACAGAAGAAGCACCGGCCAACUACGUGCCAGCCGCCGCGGUAACAC
rnacentral:rRNA from 1 species